rnacentral:rRNA from 1 species
UGAGUAACCUGCCCUUAACUCUGGGAUAAGCCUGGGAAACUGGGUCUAAUACCGGAUAUGACUCCUCAUCGCAUGGUGGGGGGUGGAAAGCUUUUUGUGGUUUUGGAUGGACUCGCGGCCUAUCAGCUUGUUGGUGAGGUAAUGGCUUACCAAGGCGACGACGGGUAGCCGGCCUGAGAGGGUGACCGGCCACACUGGGACUGAGACACGGCCCAGACUCCGUACGGGAGGCAG